rnacentral:rRNA from 1 species
UACGUAGGAGGCGAGCGUUGUCCGGAUUUACUGGGCGUAAAGCGCGCGCAGGCGGCACUUCAAGUAAGGUGUGAAAUCUCCCUGCUCAACGGGGAGGGUGCACUUUAGACUGAGGAGCUAGAGGACGGUAGAGGGGGGUGGAAUUGCUGGUGUAGCGGUGAAAUGCGUAGAGAUCAGCAGGAACACCCGUGGCGAAGGCGGCCCCCUGGGCCGUACCUGACGCUGAGGCGCGAAGGCUAGGGGAGCAAACGGG